UAUAAGCGACAGGUGGCUACGCCGCUGCGCUAUUUACAUACGGGUCUUUGCGACCUCGUUUGAGACCGUGUGCAGUUAGAAUUGUACAUUGCCUCGUGUGAAGAUUAUCGGUUAUGGCAGGCGCGUGUGUUCUACAGAGUUCAAGUGCACAGUUAAUUGGAUACUGCUCGAGAGAUUAAGGUUGCAAAGGCGUGCAUGGAAUGGCGUGCCUUCAUAGCGGCCUGUUUCUACAGGAAGAAAGUGAUUGGCAGUACGGAAUUUGAAGAUAUUUUGGGACUCAUCCGGGUGAAUUUUAAUCAUGUCAGAUGCACUAUUCGCGACAAUGACGGUGUCAUCUGCAUACAACAGGACCAGAAGCUUAAGCCACGAUAUUGCAGUAUCUGGGUUGAUAAGUUCAACCCCAACGGAUCCAUUUAUAUGCAGGUAUGAGUGAAGGUCAUUUAAGAAAAGUGAGAAUAGGACUGGGGAUAGAUUUUCUCCUUGUCUGACACCUAUUUCUGAUAAGAAGUACUGGGAGCAUUCUCCAUUAAAGGAAAUGCAUGAUUUUAUGUUUCUGUACAUGUUUAAAAGGACUCGAAAAAAGUUACCAUUAAUUUGUGUGCCAAGUAAUUUGUG